GGGGGCGGGGCACGGGCUGGCUGGAGGCUCACGGCACCCCUGGAGAACUUCACCCUCCCCUGAUUUUCCAGAGAUGGAGACACAGGCGCUCACCCAGCUGGGAAGCCACUGAACUGGGACUCAAACCCAGGCCCACAGGAGGAGGCCAAAGGAUUCCUUUAGUGCCCCUCUGCGGUGGACUGGCAUCUCACAACUUGGAAUACCAGGAGAUGGGCAGAAGCCCUUGCUGAGGUCCAGACAGAAGAAGUGGGACCCAGAGGGAGCAGCCCAGCCUCUCACACGGCCGAGUGAGAUGACUCUUGGGGCAGGGGCUGUUUCUUGGGGGGAAGGGAGUGGUUCUGCUGCCUGGGCCUUCUCCUCAGGCAACACCUCAAGCCCUGGCCAUGUACGAGUGGGGAGAAGCAUCUGCCAACAAAUUCCAUCUUCAGACCCCUGUGGGGCACCUCCUGGGGGCAGGGUCCAGGAAUGAACCAGUCCUGCCCCCCAUGCUAGGGGUAUAGUGGGCACAUGGCCACCGGAAUAAAGACUACAUUUCCCAGUGCCCUAAUAGCUAUGGGUGGCCAAUGGGUUGUAAGUGAAAUAUCAGCUUCUGAGAACUUUCCUUAAAACACAUCUGGCAAAUUGCCCCUUUUCUCUUCUCCUCAAUCCAACUAGAUGGAACGUCGGUGUGUGACAGGAGUCACAGUAGCAAUAUUUGACUAUAAGAUGAUCUUGGGCAGUUUAGUUAUAGUGAGAGCAGGAAUCUAAACAGCAACAGGAUAAGCCAGAAAACAAGGAACAAUGUCUUCAAAGUGCUAAAAGAAAACAUCAACUUAAAAUCCUAAAUCCACCUAAAUAUUUAAGAGCAAAGGCUUAAUAAAGACA